UACGGAGGGUGCAAGCGUUAUCCGGAUUCACUGGGUUUAAAGGGUGCGUAGGUGGGUUGGUAAGUCAGUGGUGAAAUCCCCGAGCUUAACUUGGGAACUGCCAUUGAUACUAUCAGUCUUGAAUACUGUGGAGGUCAGCGGAAUAUGUCAUGUAGCGGUGAAAUGCUUAGAUAUGACAUAGAACACCAAUUGCGAAGGCAGCUGGCUACACAAAUAUUGACACUGAGGCACGAAAGCGUGGGGAUCAAACAGGA
rnacentral:rRNA from 1 species